rnacentral:rRNA from 1 species
GCGAUCAUACCAGUACUAAUGCACCGGAUCCCAUCAGAACUCCGAAGUUAAGCUUGCUUGCGCGAGGGCAGUACUAGGAUGGGUGACCCCUGUGAAGUCCUCAUGUUGCACCU